UACGGAGGGGGCUAGCGUUGUUCGGAAUUACUGGGCGUAAAGCGCACGUAGGCGGCUUUGUAAGUUAGAGGUGAAAGUCCAGGGCUCAACCCUGGAAUUGCCUUUAAGACUGCAUCGCUUGAACAUCGGAGAGGUAAGUGGAAUUCCGAGUGUAGAGGUGAAAUUCGUAGAUAUUCGGAAGAACACCAGUGGCGAAGGCGACUUCCUGGCCUGUUCUUGACGCUGAGGCGCGAAAGCUAGGGUAGCAAACGGG
rnacentral:rRNA from 1 species